rnacentral:rRNA from 1 species
UACGGAGGGGGCGAGCGUUGUUCGGAAUUACUGGGCGUAAAGGGCGCGUAGGCGGCCCAUCAAGUUAGGCGUGAAAGCCCCGGGCUCAACCUGGGAAUUGCGUUUAAGACUGGUGAGCUAGAGUACGAGAGAGGAAAGUGGAAUUCCUAGUGUAGCGGUGAAAUGCGUAGAUAUCCGGAGGAACACCAGUGGCGAAGGCGGCUUUCUGGACCGACACUGACGCUGAGGCGCGAAAGCUAGGGGAGCAAACGGGAUUAGAUACCCGGGUAGU